CAUGCAAGUCGAGCGGAGACAGUGAGUAGCUUGCUAUGAGCUGUUUUAGCGGCGGACGGGUGAGUAACGCGUGAGCAACCUUUCCCAGACAGGGGAAUAACACACCGAAAGGUGUACUAAUACCGCAUAAGACCACGGGAUCACAUGGUUCUGAGGUAAAAGAUUUAUCGGUUUGGGGUGGGCUCGCGUCCGAUUAGGUAGUUGGUGAGGUAACGGCCCACCAAGCCGACGAUCGGUAGCCGACCUGAGAGGGUGAUCGGCCACAUUGGGACUGAGGCACGGCCCAAACUCCUACGGGAGGCAGCAGUGGGGAAUAUUGGGCAAUGGAGGAAACUCUGACCCAGCAACGCCGCGUGGAGGAAGAAGGUUUUCGGAUCGUAAACUCCUGUCCUUGGAGACGAGUAGAAGACGGUAUCCAAGGAGGAAGCCCCGGCUAACUACGUGCCAGCAGCCGCGGUAAUACGUAGGGGGCAAGCGUUGUCCGGAAUAAUUGGGCGUAAAGGGCGCGUAGGCGGCUCGGUAAGUCUGGAGUGAAAGUCCUGCUUUUAAGGUGGGAAUUGCUUUGGAUACUGUCGGGCUUGAGUGCAGGAGAGGUUAGUGGAAUUCCCAGUGUAGCGGUGAAAUGCGUAGAGAUUGGGAGGAACACCAGUGGCGAAGGCGACUAACUGGACUGUAACUGACGCUGAGGCGCGAAAGUGUGGGGAGCAAACAGGAUUAGAUACCCUGGUAGUCCACACUGUAAACGAUGAAUGCUAGGUGUAGGGG
rnacentral:rRNA from 1 species